GGAUGCGAUCAUACCAGCACUAAAGCACCGGAUCCCAUCAGAACUCCAAAGUUAAGCGUGCUUGGGCGAGAGUAGUACUAGGAAGUCCUCGUGUUGCGUUCC
rfam:Triticum aestivum genome assembly, contig: Triticum_aestivum_CS42_TGACv1_scaffold_091025_1DS